rnacentral:rRNA from 1 species
UUGGCUCAGGAUGAACGCUGGCGGCGUGCCUAACACAUGCAAGUCGAACGGACGAGGCCCCUUCGGGGACCGAGUUAGUGGCGGACGGGUGAGUAACGCGUGAGGAACCUGCCUCGGAGUGGGGAAUAACGGUUGGAAACGACCGCUAAUACCGCAUAAUACAACGGUGUCGCAUGGCGCUGUUGUCAAAGAUUUAUCGCUCUGAGAUGGACUCGCGUCUGAUUAGCUGGUUGGCGGGGUAACGGCCCACCAAGGCGACGAUCAGUAGCCGGACUGAGAGGUUGACCGGCCACAUUGGGACUGAGACACGGCCCAGACUCCUACGGGAGGCAGCAGUGGGGAAUA